rnacentral:tRNA from 1 species
UUUUAGGUGACUGAGUCAUUAUAAGUGUUAGAUUUUUAAUCUAAAAACGGCAAUUGCUGCCCCUAAAAA